GAUGAACGCUAGCUACAGGCUUAACACAUGCAAGUCGAGGGGCAGCAUUUUAGUUUGCUUGCAAACUGAAGAUGGCGACCGGCGCACGGGUGAGUAACACGUAUCCAACCUGCCGAUAACUCCGGAAUAGCCUUUCGAAAGAAAGAUUAAUACCGGAUGGCAUACGAAUAUCGCAUGAUAUUUUUAUUAAAGAAUUUCGGUUAUCGAUGGGGAUGCGUUCCAUUAGUUUGUUGGCGGGGUAACGGCCCACCAAGACUACGAUGGAUAGGGGUUCUGAGAGGAAGGUCCCCCACAUUGGAACUGAGACACGGUCCAAACUCCUACGGGAGGCAGCAGUGAGGAAUAUUGGUCAAUGGGCGAGAGCCUGAACCAGCCAAGUAGCGUGAAGGAUGAAGGCUCUAUGGGUCGUAAACUUCUUUUAUAUGGGAAUAAAGUUUUCCACGUGUGGAAUUUUGUAUGUACCAUAUGAAUAAGGAUCGGCUAACUCCGUGCCAGCAGCCGCGGUAAUACGGAGGAUCCGAGCGUUAUCCGGAUUUAUUGGGUUUAAAGGGAGCGUAGGUGGAUUGUUAAGUCAGUUGUGAAAGUUUGCGGCUCAACCGUAAAAUUGCAGUUGAAACUGGCAGUCUUGAGUACAGUAGAGGUGGGCGGAAUUCGUGGUGUAGCGGUGAAAUGCUUAGAUAUCACGAAGAACUCCGAUUGCGAAGGCAGCUCACUGGACUGCAACUGACACUGAUGCUCGAAAGUGUGGGUAUCAAACAGGAUUAGAUACCCUGGUAGUCCACACAGUAAACGAUGAAUACUCGCUGUUUGCGAUAUACAGUAAGCGGCCAAGCGAAAGCAUUAAGUAUUCCACCUGGGGAGUACGCCGGCAACGGUGAAACUCAAAGGAAUUGACGGGGGCCCGCACAAGCGGAGGAACAUGUGGUUUAAUUCGAUGAUACGCGAGGAACCUUACCCGGGCUUAAAUUGCAGUGGAAUGAUGUGGAAACAUGUCAGUGAGCAAUCACCGCUGUGAAGGUGCUGCAUGGUUGUCGUCAGCUCGUGCCGUGAGGUGUCGGCUUAAGUGCCAUAACGAGCGCAACCCUUAUCUUCAGUUACUAACAGGUCAUGCUGAGGACUCUGGAGAGACUGCCGUCGUAAGAUGUGAGGAAGGUGGGGAUGACGUCAAAUCAGCACGGCCCUUACGUCCGGGGCUACACACGUGUUACAAUGGGGGGUACAGAAGGCAGCUAGCGGGUGACCGUAUGCUAAUCCCAAAAGCCUCUCUCAGUUCGGAUCGAAGUCUGCAACCCGACUUCGUGAAGCUGGAUUCGCUAGUAAUCGCGCAUCAGCCACGGCGCGGUGAAUACGUUCCCGGGCCU
rnacentral:rRNA from 1 species